GAUGACAAUGAUGAUGAUGAUGAUGAUGUUGAUGAUGAUGAUAAUAAUAAUAACAUUAUUAUUAUGAAUAAUGAUAAUUAUAAUAAUGAUAAUUAUAAUAAUAAAAUAUAAAGAAAAAUUUUUGCAUUGUUAAACGUCAAGACGUAUUUUCCUUAUUUUAUUUCACAGAGUUUUACACGUUCAUUCAAUCAACAAAUGGAGAAAUAAUAAUCUAUAAAUACGGUGGCAUGAUCAAUUAUUUCGAUUACUGAAAGAUCAUCCAAAAAAAAAAAAAAAGAAAAAAAAAAAAGAAAAGAAACAAACAAAUUGACAAAUACGAGAUACAUGAUAUUAUUACUUUUGACAAAUAACGAAACGGAUUACUACAAUGUUCUACUUGUCUACUUGUCUCUGAUUGUAUUAUUCAUGGCAUUACCGCAUGAAGGAGAUUAACAGAGAGAUUAAACGAUCAGUUGUUAUAGGAAACUGGUAGUAUGAUGAGAGAAUGAAAGAGAGAGAGAGAGAGAGAGGAACGAAUUUUAAUGGAAUCACUAAAGAUGCAACAACAUGUUCUGACGUAAAUCAACUGGAAUACCCGAUCAAUCAAAUGAGUUAUCAUCGACAAAGGAAGAAAAAUUGAAGGUUGGUAAUCGUCCUAAAUAUCAAUUGAAAAUCAGUAUACCUUUGGAUAAAUUAAGUGGAUACAUACCAAGAAAUCCGACAACAUCUAAUCGUGAUGAAAAUAAUCGUAAUGAAUCGAAGAGUUCAAGUUCGUCGAAGAAAAAACAAAAAUAAUAAACGAAAUCUGUUCCUAAUCGAAAAUAUUCUCUUAUCGCAUAUCGCACUCGUUGGUUUUUACGACGAAGUAAACAAAAAAACAAAAACAAGAAAAAAAAAAAAAAAAAAAGAAAAAAAAAAUGGAAGACCAAUUAAAAAAUACCAUUCAAUCCGAUUUUCUUUCUAAUAAAUAAAAGAGAUCAUUGCCUAUAUUGAAACAAACAAACAAACAAACAAACAAAUAAAUAAAUAAAUAAAUACAAAUGUCGAGAGAUUAAAAAGUAACAAAAUCCGGGACUUUUGCCCUUGACCUCAUUUCGUUUGAGGCUCUCGUAAUAAAUUAAAAUAAAAAUAAGGAAUUUACAAAAGGGAAAAAA